AGAGUGUGAGUUCUCACAAGAUCUGAUGGUUUUAUAAUGGGCUUUUUCCUCUUUGCUCAGCACUUCUCCUUCCUGCCAUCAUGUGAAUAAGGACAUGUUUUCUUCCCCUUCCACCAUGAUUGUAAGUUUCCCUAGGCCUCCCCAGCCGUGAAGAACUGUGAGUCAAUUAAAUCUCUUUCCUUUAUAAAUUACCCAGUCUCAGGCAGUUCUUUACAGCAGCGUGAGAAUGGACUAAUACACCAUGGGAUAACUGAUACUGGCAUAUCUGUGUGGGAAACCCCAGGACCUGAGAACUUUCUGGCCAUUUCUAAAAUCUCCAGAUGGCUGCACCUGUCACCUCUUCUGUAAAAGCUGCUUGAACGGAAUCCUUCAAAAUACCAAACAGGACAGCAGGGACAUCACCAUAGAAAGAAUUGGGCUGGAAUGAUAAGCCAGAUUUUUUAAAAGAAGAAAUAUGUGGACAGAAAAUAUGUGACUGAAACACCAGGAGUUUGAUGUUGGUCUUGUUGCUCACUGCACAGAAAGCCAGUCACUGAGACAAUGAAUACUGCAGGGAAGAAGGAAGGCUUCAUGCAGGUGUGCAGCUGAGGAGGAAGAGGAGAUGAAGACACAGAUAUGCACAGAGGGGCAGCCCUGUGAGGACACGCGGAGAAGACGGCGUGUGCGAGCCAGGGAGACAGAAACCAACCGUGACAACCCCUGAUCUCAGACUGCCAGCCUCCAGAGCUGGGGGAAAGUACGUUUCUGCUAUUGAAGCCCCCAGUCUGUGGUGCCGGGUUACGCGCCAGUACCCAUACGCCAGCCGAGACAGCAAUAGCGAGACACUCCGGACAGGUGAAGGGCGUGCGGCCUUCCCACCACCCACCUGAAAACACUGCCUAAAGAUGAGCCCAGUCCACAAAGCCUGCAUGAAAUGACGCGUUCAACAGCAGGAAAGACCUGGAUGGCAUAAAAAGAAAAAGAGUCAGGGAGACCAAGUCAGGCGAGGGGAGAAUGAGACUGGAAAUGGUUUGGCUGUGUCCCCACACAAAUCUCAUCUUUAAUUGCAGCUCCCAUAAUUCCCAUGUGUUGUGGGAGGGACCCAGUGGGAGAUAAUUGAACCGUGGGGGCGGUUUGCCCAUAGCGUUCUCAUGGUAGUGAAUAAGUCUCCUGAGAUCUGAUGGUUUUAAAAGGGGAAA